AUUGAACGCUGGCGGCAGGCCUAACACAUGCAAGUCGAGCGGAUGAAGGGAGCUUGCUCCUGGAUUCAGCGGCGGACGGGUGAGUAAUGCCUAGGAAUCUGCCUGGUAGUGGGGGAUAACGUCCGGAAACGGGCGCUAAUACCGCAUACGUCCUGAGGGAGAAAGUGGGGGAUCUUCGGACCUCACGCUAUCAGAUGAGCCUAGGUCGGAUUAGCUAGUUGGUGGGGUAAAGGCCUACCAAGGCGACGAUCCGUAACUGGUCUGAGAGGAUGAUCAGUCACACUGGAACUGAGACACGGUCCAGACUCUUACGGGAGGCAGCAGUGGGGAAUAUUGGACAAUGGGCGAAAGCCUGAUCCAGCCAUGCCGCGUGUGUGAAGAAGGUCUUCGGAUUGUAGAGCACUUUAAGUUGGGAGGAAGGGCAGUAAGUUAAUACCUUGCUGUUUUGACGUUACCAACAGAAUAAGCACCGGCUAACUUCGUG
rnacentral:rRNA from 1 species